CCUAACCAUAAAGAAAAAUAAAAAUAAUUAUAAAAAAACGAUGACAAAUUAACUUUAUGUGAGGGUUUAACGUCCUGAUCAAUAUCAAAGCUCUUCGAGUUGAAAUGGUUACUUUAAAAUUGCCAAGAUUGAGUUGCCGCGAAGGCGCGAACCAUGACUGUAACUUCUACACAAAUGGAAUCGUGUGGAUUUCACCAAAAAAAAAGGUGGGAAAAAAAAAAAAAA
rnacentral:misc_RNA from 1 species